rnacentral:rRNA from 1 species
CGCAGGCCUAACACAUGCAAGUCGAACGGUAACAUAAUAAAAGCUUGCGUUUUAUUGAUGACGAGUGGCGGACGGGUGAGUAAUGCUUGGGAAUUUGCCUUGAGGUGGGGGACAACAGUUGGAAACGACUGCUAAUACCGCAUAAUAGCUACGGCUCAAAGGGGGCUACGGCUCUCGCCUUUAGAGAAGCCCAAGUGGGAUUAGAUAGUUGGUGGGGUAAUGGCCUACCAAGUCAACGAUCUCUAGCUGGUCUGAGAGGAUGAUCAGCCACACUGGAACUGAGACACGGUCCAGACUCCUACGGGAGGCAGCAGUGGGGAAUAUUGCACAAUGGGCGCAAGCCUGAUGCAGCCAUGCCGCGUGUGUGAAGAAGGCCUUCGGGUUGUAAAGCACUUUCAGCGAGGAGGAAGGGUUGUUGGUUAAUACCCAGCAGCUUUGACGUUACUCGCAGAAGAAGCACCGGCUAACUCCGUG